CAGACCUGGACCUGUGUGCCCAGGUCGUCUGUCCGUUCAACUGGCAGUGUCAGGACGAAGGCAACCACUUCAUCUGCCUCGCUGGGUCCAGGCUGGCGGAACCCUACACUUGCAGCAGCGCCUCCUGUCCGGACGGCAUGUACUGCAGGGAGGAGGGGCCGGCAUCUUUCUCCUGCAGAGCCGGGUAGAUUCCCUGCUGCACGUCAGACCUG